AGCGCAGGCGGUUUCUUAAGUCUGAUGUGAAAGCCUUCGGCUCAACCGAAGAAGUGCAUCGGAAACUGGGAAACUUGAGUGCAGAAGAGGACAGUGGAACUCCAUGUGUAGCGGUGAAAUGCGUAGAUAUAUGGAAGAACACCAGUGGCGAAGGCGGCUGUCUGGUCUGUAACUGACGCUGAGGCUCAAAGCGAUGGGUAGCAAACA
rnacentral:rRNA from 1 species